CCUACGGGAGGCAGCAGUGAGGAAUAUUGGUCAAUGGACGAGAGUCUGAACCAGCCAAGUAGCGUUAAGGAUGACUGCCCUAUGGGUUGUAAACUUCUUUUAUAAAGGAAUAAAACGAGGCACGUGUGCCUUUUUGCAUGUACUUUAUGAAUAAGGAUCGGCUAACUCCGUGCCAGCAGCCGCAGUAAUACGGAGGAUCCGAGCGUUAUCCGGAUGUAUUGGGUUUAAAGGGAGCGUAGAUGGGUUGUUAAGUCAGUUGUGAAAGUUUGCGGCUCAACCGUAAAAUUGCAAUUGAUACUGGCAGUCUUGAGUACAGGUGAGGUAGGCGGAAUUCGUGGCGUAGCGGUGAAAUGCUUAGAUAUCACGAAGAACCCCGAUUGCGAAGGCAGCUUACUAAACUGUGACUGACAUUGAUGCUCGAAAGUGUGGGUAUCAAACAGGAGUAGAUACCCUGGUAGUC
rnacentral:rRNA from 1 species